rnacentral:tRNA from 1 species
GUAACUAUACCGGUUUUCAAGACCGGAGCUAUCAACCACUCAGCCACCUCUC